UGGCUCAGAUGGUAUAGCAUCUGCCUACAGUGCAGGAGACCCAGGUUCGAUCCCUGG
rnacentral:tRNA from 1 species